GGGCCACAGGGUGCCCAAGUACUUUCCCAAACAACUCUUGUCAACAGUUGAUAUCAGAAUUCUGACCUCUGUCAACCAAAUUAACUGAAAAUUCCUUCCUCUACAACUGACAAGGUUAUUGUCCUACUCCUCACCACCAAAAGGGAAAGCAGGGCCCUCCCUACUGGGUCUGUACUUCAUGCAUAACAGAGAGACCGGGACCAGCCGUCCCCUCUUGGAGGGGAUGUGUGCCUUCUUGGUUAUUGCUGAGCAUGGGCUUGUGAGUUUACCUAAAUAGACACUGUGCUCAAAUCGGAACUCUAGCAGUUAUCCACCAGGAGAAAAAGUUGCAGCCUGGGGAUGCUGGAGUGAUAAAACAGAGUCAUCCCUGAGGACCGUAAAGCCAAAGCCACCUGCAAGAACUGGCAAAAUUGGCCAUGCCUAGUCUUUAAGGUUCAGAUGUCCUACAACAAGUGAAAAGAUAACAGAUUUUGGAAUAUUCAUACAAAGGAAUACUGCUUAACAAUAAAAGAGAACGAGCUAUCGACGUGUGCAGUAACACAGGUGAAUCAAAUUGAUGCAACCAAGAAGCUGAGAUGUGCAUGGCUGCUUCUUAGAUGAGUCAUCACCAAACUGUGUUGUCCUGUGGUAAGGAAGAAGCCUAUGUCAGGAAAUCUGGGACAUUCAAUGACACUCUUGCAUGUCUAUGGCUGCUUUAUGAUCAGUUUCAUCAAUUAUGAAGGAAAUGUCAGCUGGGACUCAGAGGAGGAGCCAUCUCAAGGUCAUUGAACAAGUGUGGUUCUGCCUUGUCCUUAAUUGUUUUUCUACAUCAAACCAUCUUUUCAAAAAGUGACUUGAUUCUAAAGUUGAAAAUAAAAAUGUUAAAUAAAACCUUCUCCUAAUG